rnacentral:rRNA from 1 species
CAGCCGCCACGGUAAUACGAGGGGUGCAAGCGUUAUUCGGAUUGAUUGGGUGUAAAGGGUGUGCAGACGGCUUAUUAAGUCACUUGUUAAAUUCUUCGGCCUAACUGAAGGUCUGCAAGUGAUACUGAUGAGCUAGAGGGUGGAAGAGAGUAGUGGAAUUCUCGGAGUAGCGGUGAAAUGCGUUGAGAUCGGAAAGAACACCAACGGCGAAAGCACUCUGCUGGGCCGACACUGACACUGAGAGACGAAAGCUAGGGGAGCAAAUGGGAUUAGAUACCCCAGUAGUCCCUGUCUCUUAUAC